AUUGAACGCUGGCGGCAGGCUUAACACAUGCAAGUCGAGCGGGGGAAGGUAGCUUGCUACUGGACCUAGCGGCGGACGGGUGAGUAAUGCUUAGGAAUCUGCCUAUUAGUGGGGGACAACAUCUCGAAAGGGAUGCUAAUACCGCAUACGUCCUACGGGAGAAAGCAGGGGAUCUUCGGACCUUGCGCUAAUAGAUGAGCCUAAGUCGGAUUAGCUAGUUGGUGGGGUAAAGGCCUACCAAGGCGACGAUCUGUAGCGGGUCUGAGAGGAUGAUCCGCCACACUGGGACUGAGACACGGCCCAGACUCCUACGGGAGGCAGCAGUGGGGAAUAUUGGACAAUGGGGGGAACCCUGAUCCAGCCAUGCCGCGUGUGUGAAGAAGGCCUUAUGGUUGUAAAGCACUUUAAGCGAGGAGGAGGCUACUUUAGUUAAUACCUAGAGAUAGUGGACGUUACUCGCAGAAUAAGCACCGGCUAACUCUGUGCCAGCAGCCGCGGUAAUACAGAGGGUGCGAGCGUUAAUCGGAUUUACUGGGCGUAAAGCGUGCGUAGGCGGCUUAUUAAGUCGGAUGUGAAAUCCCCGAGCUUAACUUGGGAAUUGCAUUCGAUACUGGUGAGCUAGAGUAUGGG
rnacentral:rRNA from 1 species